GUCAUAUCUCCAAUGACACUGUACACGUCACUACACUCAAUUGGGAAAAUGACAAUGGGAGCAUAGGGGUGCAGUAUAACUACAUGGACUGCUCCACUGCAGCAUGAGAGACUGGGAGGUAACCUGAUCCAGUCUCUGGUCUUCUUGCACUGCCAAGCAGAUAUUACUCUGUCUACAGUUGACGGCCAGCCCAUCCCCACCUGGCUGAAUCUACACUACUCGUUACGGUUAUCUCAGCGGGCAGCGGAGCGGGGACGUCAGCUGACAGCCAUUUCCCAUGAUGCCCCAGGAGGAGCCGUCAAGCUGUCCAUCCAACUGUCAGGUGACCAGUGGUUCCCAUGGUUCCCCCCUCUGCCACUCCAUUGAGCUGAAAGGCUCUAUUAUCUGUGCGUGUUGGAGAGGGACUGCUCAGGCUUUGAUAAGCUAUCACUGGUCCCAGGAUCUGCUGCUCUCUCACUGUCUAUGGCACACCUCUGGAAAAGCCGCCGGCACAUCCGGCUGGAGAACCCUGAAGCACUGGAAUGGGAUUGGGGGGACUAGUGAUGAAGACUACAGGAUGCCUAUCCACCGUGGCCUAGUGUUUUGAUGCCAUCUAUUGGAAUAAUUGACCAAUUUAUCAAGGGGAGUAUACAGAGUGACUACCAACUGAAAUGCUUUCUAUCCUCAUAAUAGAAGUGGUCAAUUAUAAAUAUAUCAGUUACAAUUACUAAAUUCUACCCAACAAACAUUGAGUAAACAUUCAGCUAAUUUUGAUAUCAGAAUGAUUAUAUCUCAACUACUUCUACCAAGUCAAAUUUCAAAUGAUGAAAUGGUGAUAUGAUCGUGAACUAGAGAUAUCUUGAUUUUGCAUGAUGCCAGGUGUUUUUAUAAAGUAAAACAAUAGUUUGGAUCAAUACAAAGCAUAUCUCUUUUCUCCCAAACAUUGGAAAUCAC
rnacentral:lncRNA from 1 species